GCUGUUACCUCGCUCGCGUUGAUGCAGUAUUUGAUGAGUUUGAACAGAGGAAACUAGUCUCGGGGUAACGUGCAACAAGAGAGUAGGUAAAGGUCGACGUCGCUGAUCCAUUGAGAUAAGCAGGACAACGUAGCCGAACUUUUACCCAUUUUUAUAAUUGAAAAUAAAAGGGACGGGUUUUGAGAGAGUUGAACAUUGUCAUCCCAAACACUGCCACGAAGACAUCCAAAAUGAAUCGGCUGCAAACAAUUACCGGCCAUUUAGCUGUUCCACAGCUGCAUACGACACAAGCGAAGAUUGCCCAGAGAGAGACAGCUGCGCUGGGGGGAGCAAGUGGAGCGAUGGGUUCGCUGAGGAUUCCAGCCCGUGCUCCCAGGGAGGACGACGUGGUGGUGGUUUGGGCCAAACGGACGCCUAUCGGUAAAGCCAAGCGGGGCUCUUUCAAGGAUACUAAGGCUGAUGAACUUUUGACAGCUGUAUUCAAGGCUGCCAUAGAGGAAACACACAUUGCUCCUACAGACAUUGGAGACAUUGUGGUUGGAAAUUGUCUUGCUCCUGGAGGCGGGCAAGUCCUGGCCAGGAUUGGUCAGCUUCUCAGUGGAAUUCCUUCAGCAGUACCCCUCAACACAGUCAACCGUCAGUGUGCCUCUGGUCUCCAGGCUUUCAUGAAUAUUGCAGGAGGCAUUAAGAAUGGAGUAUACGAUAUUGGAAUCGCCUCUGGAGUUGAGUCAAUGUCCAGAAUGGAGCAAUCUGGAGCAGCCAAGGACCUUAACCCUAAACUGUUUGACUAUGCUGAGGCAAGGGACUGCCUUAUUCCUAUGGGAAUAACUUCAGAAAAUGUGGCUGAGCAGUUUGGAAUCACUCGGGAACAACAGGACCAGAUGGGCUAUGACUCACAAAUGAAGGCAGCACGAGCCAAGGCUCAAGGCUUGUUCAAGGAUGAGAUCUUGCCAGUCACAACAAAGGUUGAAGACAACGAUGGGAAUGAAAGAGAAAUAACGGUGACUGAAGAUGAUGGCAUCCGUCCACAGACUACAUUGGCAGGACUUGCCAAAUUGAGACCUGCAUUUAAGAAAGGUGGCACAACAACAGCAGGGAAUUCCAGUCAGGUUAGUGAUGGAGCUGCAGCGAUACUAGUUGCAAAGCGUUCUACAGCUGAGAGAGCUGGACUACCAAUCCUUGGCUGGCUGGUGUCAUUUGCCGUUGUAGGUGUACCACCAGCUGUGAUGGGAAUUGGACCUGCCUAUGCCAUACCAGAGGCAUUGAAGAAAGCUGGUCUGUCAGUGGAUGACAUUGAUGUCUUUGAGAUCAAUGAGGCAUUUGCCAGUCAGGCUACUUACUGUGUGAAGAAGUUGGGUAUUCCCAUGGAAAAGGUCAAUCCCCUGGGAGGAGCCAUAGCCCUAGGACAUCCCUUGGGGUGUACAGGCGCACGCCAGGUGGCAACACUUCUCCAUGAACUCAAACGCAGGGGCAGACGAGCGUAUGGUGUUGUGUCUAUGUGUGUUGGCACUGGUAUGGGGGCAGCUGCUGUUUUCUAUCACCCAGGCCCACAGUAAUCCAUGGGUAACAGUACAAGUCUAGUGAAGGAAACUACAGCAAGCCAUAGCUAAAUGCAGAAGUGCUGUUUUUAUGCACUAAUAAAAUGUACGGAAAAGAAAAACAACAAAAAAGGUAAUUUCCUUUGAUUGCAUGGACAAUUUUGUAAGUUGGUAUUUUCUUUCCAAUUAGUCUGAAAUGUUUUCAUUUACAAUUCAAUGUACUUGUGCUUUGUAUACAUGUACAUGUAUGGUUGUUAUUGUGGGCACCCAAAGCAGUGUGACAACUCAAAAGUCCUGUUGGUUUUCUAACAGUAUGAUGCUCGGUAGUUGCCAGUGAUAGAGAGAUGAUUAAUUGCAGUAUGCUGCCUUGAUUUGAAUCAAUUCAGACUUACAUUGCUCUUCCCAAGUCAGCCAUCCCACAUACACGGUCGUUGCGCUCGGCCACUCACAUAUAACGCCCUCAUUUUAUAGCUUUUCCAUGACAGCGUCGAUGGUGUCAGUGUCCAAGAUUGUACAUGUGUCACCAGUCAGUAAGUCCAACUUGACUGAUAAGCCAAUCAGACCUGUCAUCGAUGGUACAUGUAUGUAGUUAUUCAAAAUUGCAUAUGAAUGACAUGAUGUUGCAUAAUGUGUACGGAAUUUCCACCAAUCAAAGUAGGUCAGACUUGGCAUUUCCACCAAUCAAAGUAGGUCAGACUUGGCAUUUCCACCAAUCAAAGUAGGUCAGACUUGGCAUUUCCACCAAUCAAAGUAGGUCAGACUUGGCAUUUCCACCAAAG
rnacentral:misc_RNA from 1 species